rnacentral:rRNA from 1 species
UUCCAUCUGGAAGGAAUCUGGAGGACAGGUGGCUGCAUGGCUGUCGUCAGCUCGUGUCGUGAGAUGUUGGGUUAAGUCCGCAACGAGCGCAACCCUUGCCUUUAGUUGCCAGCAGUUCGGCUGGGCACUCUAAAGGGACUGCCGGUGUUAAACCGGAGGAAGGUGGGGAUGACGUCAAGUCCUCAUGGCCUUUAUGACCAGGGCUACACACGUACUACAAUGGCCGAUACAAAGGGCAGCGACACUGCGAAGUGAAGCCAAUCCCGUAAAAUCGGUCUCAGUCCGGAUUGGAGUCUGCAACUCGACUCCAUGAAGUUGGAAUCGCUAGUAAUCGUGGAUCAGCAUGCCACGGUGAAUACGUUCCCGGGCCUU